CAAAAUAAUAUCGCUUGAGGUUUUCACGGACAGUCCGUCCGUGAAAUGAAACAGGAAGUCGGUGAGUUCGCUCCAUCAGCGGGCAAAUCCGACGCUGCCCCCGCAACGGUAAACGAGUAAAAGGUUUGCAGUAUGCCACUGUGCAAUGCAUGGGAAGGCGCCAACCUUGGAAAACCCGUCUUUUGGGUUUUUGCUCGUAAGCCCGGAGACCGGCCUGAAGCGAUCGUAUAAU
rnacentral:ncRNA from 2 species